rnacentral:rRNA from 1 species
AUAGCCCGGCGAAAGUCGGAUUAAUACCCCAUAAAACAGGGGUCCCGCAUGGGAAUAUUUGUUAAAGAUUCAUCGCUGAUAGAUAGGCAUGCGUUCCAUUAGGCAGUUGGCGGGGUAACGGCCCACCAAACCGACGAUGGAUAGGGGUUCUGAGAGGAAGGUCCCCCACAUUGGUACUGAGACACGGACCAAACUCCUACGGGAGGCAGCAGUGAGGAAUAUUGGUCAAUGGCCGAGAGGCUGAACCAGCCAAGUCGCGUGAAGGAAGAAGGAUCUAUGGUUUGUAAACUUCUUUUAUAGGGGAAUAAAGUGGAGGACGUGUCCUUUUUUGUAUGUACCCUAUGAAUAAGCAUCGGCUAACUCCGUGCCAGCAGCCGCGGUAAUACGGAGGAUGCGAGCGUUAUCCGGAUUUAUUGGGUUUAAAGGGUGCGUAGGUGGUGAUUUAAGUCAGCGGUGAAAGUUUGUGGCUCAACCAUAAAAUUGCCGUUGAAACUGGGUUACUUGAGUGUGUUUGAGGUAGGCGGAAUGCGUGGUGUAGCGGUGAAAUGCAUAGAUAUCACGCAGAACUCCGAUUGCGAAGGCAGCUUACUAAACCAUAACUGACACUGAAGCACGAAAGCGUGGGGAUCAAACAGGAUUAGAUACCCUGGUAGUCCACGCAGUAAAC